ACACAUGCAAGUCGAGGGGCAGCAUGGUCUUAGCUUGCUAAGGCCGAUGGCGACCGGCGCACGGGUGAGUAACACGUAUCCAACCUGCCGUCUACUCUUGGACAGCCUUCUGAAAGGAAGAUUAAUACAAGAUGGCAUCAUGAGUCCGCAUGUUCACAUGAUUAAAGGUAUUCCGGUAGACGAUGGGGAUGCGUUCCAUUAGAUAGUGGGCGGGGUAACGGCCCACCUAGUCUUCGAUGGAUAGGGGUUCUGAGAGGAAGGUCCCCCACAUUGGAACUGAGACACGGUCCAAACUCCUACGGGAGGCAGCAGUGAGGAAUAUUGGUCAAUGGGCGAGAGCCUGAACCAGCCAAGUAGCGUGAAGGAUGACUGCCCUAUGGGUUGUAAACUUCUUUUAUAAAGGAAUAAAGUCGGGUAUGGAUACCCGUUUGCAUGUACUUUAUGAAUAAGGAUCGGCUAACUCCGUGCCAGCAGCCGCGGUAAUACGGAGGAUCCGAGCGUUAUCCGGAUUUAUUGGGUUUAAAGGGAGCGUAGAUGGAUGUUUAAGUCAGUUGUGAAAGUUUGCGGCUCAACCGUAAAAUUGCAGUUGAUACUGGAUAUCUUGAGUGCAGUUGAGGCAGGCGGAAUUCGUGGUGUAGCGGUGAAAUGCUUAGAUAUCACGAAGAACUCCGAUUGCGAAGGCAGCCUGCUAAGCUGCAACUGACAUUGAGGCUCGAAAGUGUGGGUA
rnacentral:rRNA from 1 species